UGGGGAAUCUUGCACAAUGGGGGCAACCCUGAUGCAGCGACGCCGCGUGAGCGAUGAAGCCCUUCGGGGCGUAAAGCUCUUUCGACCGGAACGAUAAUGACGGUACCGGGAGAAGAAGCUGCGGCUAACCACGUGCCAGCAGCCGCGGUAAUACGUAGGCAGCAAGCGUUGUUCGGAGUUACUGGGCGUAAAGAGUGCGUAGGCGGUUUUCUAAGUUCGGUGUGAAAUCUCCCGGCUUAACUGGGAGGGUGCGCCGAAGACUGGGAAGCUGGAGUGUGGGAAAGGCAGGCGGAAUUCCUGGUGUAGCGGUGAAAUGCGUAGAUAUCAGGAGGAACACCGGCGGUGUAGACGGCUUGCUAGACCAUAACUGACGCUGAGGCACGAAAGCGUGGGUAGCAAACA
rnacentral:rRNA from 1 species